AGAAGAAAGGUACCUUAUCCAGAUGGCUGGUGUGUGGGAAAACUCCAGAAUAAACAAGAUCAAAAUUGACAUUUUAAAAAAUAGGCAUUAACUAAGCAAAGAGUAGAAGUGUUCUAGGCAGAGAGAAUGGCAUCUUGUAACAUCCCAGGGCAAGAGAGAGCAAGACAUUGAUGUAGAGUGGGAGAAGUAAGGGCAAAGGAGCCAAGGGAAGAACAGAUUGGGUAUGUACUAGGGACAGUGUGGACACUUGUCAGGUUACAGCGCUAGGAGAUAGGUCUGGCAGGUUAGGAGGUGAAGGAGUCUGUAUUAUCUCUGGAAGCAGUGGACACUCACUAAAGGUUACUGAGCCAGGAGAGGAUAGCAUGGGUAAAGCGAUGAUUUAGGAAGAUAGCCCCCAAGUAUGGGCAGGGUGGCAGGAUGCUUCAGUGGGAUUUCUCAGAGCAGGCUCUAGUCAGGGUUCAACAAAUUAUUUGAUCUAACUAUAUUUCCCUACUUUGUGAUUGCUUUUCCUCUCUU
rnacentral:lncRNA from 10 species